CUUUAUAUCACAAUUUUCAUCAUUUGCCGAAAAAAGAAAGGGAGAUGAAGUUCGGAGCUCUGCGUAGCUGGUGAGGUAAAUCCAGUGACUCUUCUUAUCAAGAUUUCUGAUGUCAAAAUAGGCUAUUUCAGGAAAAAAUAGGGAAAAAUAUGAAGGGGUAAAAGGUUGGAUUUUUUAUUCUUAGAUAUAAAAUUCAGAGAAAAUAGGUGAGUUUUUGGAGAAAGUAAUGGUGGAUUUAGAUUGAGAGUAUGAUGAAGGUUGUGUGAUUAAAAUUUGAGGGGGUUCGGAGUUUAGCCACCGCCGCCAGCGAUUUUCAGUGGGCGACGGACGGUGGCGAACAACGACAUACACGGGCAGUGAUGGGUGAAAGAGAGAAG
rnacentral:lncRNA from 1 species